GACGGAGGGUGCUAGCGUUGUUCGGAAUUACUGGGCGUAAAGGGCGCGUAGGCGGCUACGGCAGUCGGGUGUGAAAGCCCGGGGCUCAACCCCGGAACGGCAUCCGAUACUCUGUGGCUAGAGACCGGAAGAGGUGGGUGGAAUACCCAGUGUAGAGGUGAAAUUCGUAGAUAUCGGGAGGAACACCAGUGGCGAAGGCGGCUUCCUGGCCUGUUCUUGACGCUGAGGCGCGAAAGCUAGGGGAGCAAACGGG
rnacentral:rRNA from 1 species